rnacentral:rRNA from 1 species
GACAGAGGUGCCGAGCGUUUAGGCGGAAUCACUGGGCUUAAAGCGUGUGUAGGCGGGCCGUUAAGUGCCUUGUGAAAUCCCCCGGCUCAACCGGGGAACGGCUGGGCAUACUGGCGGCCUUGAGUCACUCAGGGGUCAGCGGAACAAACGGUGGAGCGGUGAAAUGCGUAGAUAUCGUUUGGAACGCCGACGGCGAAAGCAGCUGACUGGGAGUGAUCU